GACGAACGCUGGCGGCGUGCUUAACACAUGCAAGUCGAACGGAAAGGCCCCUUCGGGGGUACGUCGAGUGGCGAACGGGUGAGUAACACGUGGGUGAUCUACCCUGCACUUCGGGAUAAGCCUGGGAAACUGGGUCUAAUACCGGAUAGGACCACGAGAUGCAUGUCUUGUGGUGGAAAGCUUUUGCGGUGUGGGAUGGGCCCGCGGCCUAUCAGCUUGUUGGUGGGGGU
rnacentral:rRNA from 1 species